UACGUAGGGGGCAAGCGUUGACCGGAAUCAUUGGGCGUAAAGAGCGUGUAGGCGGCUUGGUAAGUCCGCUGUGAAAGUCCAGGGCUCAACCCUGGAAUGCCGGUGGAAACUGUCAAGCUUGAGUCCGGAAGAGGCGAGUGGAAUUCCUGGUGUAGCGGUGAAAUGCGCAGAUAUCAGGAGGAACACCAAUGGCGAAGGCAGCUCGCUGGGACGGUACUGACGCUGAGACGCGAAAGCGUGGGGAGCAAACAGG
rnacentral:rRNA from 1 species